rnacentral:rRNA from 1 species
UACGGAGGGGGCUAGCGUUGUUCGGAAUUACUGGGCGUAAAGCGUACGUAGGCGGCUUUGUAAGUUAGAGGUGAAAGCCCGGAGCUCAACUCCGGAAUUGCCUUUAAGACUGCAUCGCUUGAAUCGUGGAGAGGUUAGUGGAAUUCCGAGUGUAGAGGUGAAAUUCGUAGAUAUUGGGAAGAACACCGGUGGCGAAGGCGGCGACCUGGUCCGUGACUGACGCUGAGGCGCGAAAGCGUGGGGAGCAAACAGG